CAGGAGCAGCUCUGUUCUGCAUGUGCUGUUUCCAUUUCAGACCCAGCCUUGCUGCAGGGAUGGUCCCGGCUGAAGCCAGGCAGGGAGGACGGCAGCACGUGGGAAAUGCAGUGGCACAGGCUCUGAUGGAUGUCAUGAGCUCAGGGUUUGUUUAAGGUGCUCACCUGUCAGCAGCUCGUGGAUGCUACAGGAGACCAGGAAUGGCCGGAAUCUCUAUGCUGGCAGGAUUCAGAGAGGCACAAAGGAGGGAAAAACAAGUUUCAGCCAGAAGAGAGAGAGAGAGAAAAAAAAAGGAUGCUGUUAGCAUUCCCUGUAUUUGAGGGGUAAAAACAUUUUGCUGUCAACUCUGUUUUAAAGGGUAAGUGCUAAAAGCAGCCCAGUUACUAUGCAAAUAAACGGUGUGCUCAGCCUUUUCCUCUCAGUGCAAACUUGUUAGCCAGGGGAGCUGGGCUGUGGGGCUGGCAGUGUCCCCAUGUCCCCAGUGCUCCCAUCCCAUCCUGGGGAUACCCACUGGCUGGGGGUGCCACUGCAAAGCUCUGGACCUUGACAGGAGCCCAUGUGGGUGCCCAAACAAGGUGGGACAGCGUGGGGAGCACAGCAGAGGUGUGGGCUGGGUACCCCCUGCUCCUUGUCAAAAGCAGAUUCAGGCAGCUGGCAGCAGAGCCCUUGGCUGUCCCUCUGUGGCAGGGGACACCCAGGGAGAGGGACUGCCUGGAAAGGGCAGAAAUCUCACCCAAGACAUCCGCUUUCAUGGCAGGCAGGUGGGGAAGGUCUGGUAGCAGCCACCCUGGGGUACAAGGCUGUCUCUCACUCCUGCUGCCAGGUGGAACGGGAGGUGAUGCCAGGACACAAUGCCAGACUGUGGCUGGGUUCAUCCCGAUGAUGACCAGCACCCAGCGCUGGUAUUUAUGGUGGCACUUCCCCAUGACAGCAGAGGGGCUGCACAUGCUCCAGCCCACACAAGCCAAAGCUCCCCCUGACAGCCCCAGUGUGAUGGUUUCCUAUAAAAAAGAUUUGAAUUUGUCAUGCAAAUGACUGGGCAUGUGGGCACAGCUGCUGAGAGGUGGCCUGGGCUGCCAGCAUGGCCACAGGGAUGUGCCCAGGACAAGGUCUGGCCCCCAAGAGCUGGUCCCACCCCAGGAACUGC